GGCCGGGGCGGCGUCCCGCGGGGCGGACAGGAUGUCCCGGCUCCCCGACUAACGAUGCGCAGCGGAAUGCGUCCCAAAGGCGGUCGCGAGCAUUCGGGGCCGAGGGCACCGGGAAGUAAGAGUAAUUUCAAUGCAGACCCAGCAGUGACUACUUAGAAACCCAUUUUAAGACGUCUCAGACGAAAUCGGACGUGUUCUAGCCAAUGACAGAGGCAGGUGUGGAAGGGAGGUCUCCUGAGGUGGUUCCUGAAUACAUCAAAGAGAGAAGACACUCAUCUAGAGACAGUGCACGAGGUGUGAGAGACGCCGUGAACUGCAGGAGCUUCUAUCCGACUCAAGAAAAGAUUCAAGAAGAGAACAAAUGGCAGAGAAAAAUCAUUUCAGUAAUGCAGCGGGAAGGAUGAAAGGAGGAAGGACAACAAAAAUUUUCCUGGAAGCCCCACACAGUGACUUCUCUGUAUAUCUAACUGGUGGCUCCUAUCUUCAAGGCUGGGGCGUGCGUGUGUGGUGGUGAGCCAGCUUUUACCAAAUAGGUGAGGACAGCACCCUGGAUGAUUCAAUGGUGGAGCAAUGAGACAGAAGGUACUGGGUCCCCGGAUAACUGGGUGAGGCCGAGACACCCGCCACCUGGACUUUUUGCCUGUCUCUGUUCUGUGAGAGAGAAAUAAACCUUCAGCUUGU